UACGGAGGGGGCUAGCGUUGUCCGAAGUUACUGGGCGUAAAGCGCGCGUAGGCGGGUUGGUAAGUCCGCUGUGAAAGCCCGGAGCUUAACUCCGGAGGGUCGGUGGAUACUGCCAGUCUUGAAGGUGCUAGGGGGAGAUGGAAUUACCGGUGUAGCGGUGAAAUGCGCAGAUAUCAGGAGGAACACCGAUGGCGAAGGCAGGUCUCUGGGCCACUACUGACGCUGAGAAGCGAAAGCGUGGGUAGCAAACAGG
rnacentral:rRNA from 1 species